CGGGGGGCAGCAGUGGGGAAUCUUAGACAAUGGGGGCAACCCUGAUCUAGCCAUGCCGCGUGAGUGAUGAAGGCCUUAGGGUUGUAAAGCUCUUUCAGCUGGGAAGAUAAUGACGGUACCAGCAGAAGAAGCCCCGGCUAACUCCGUGCCAGCAGCCGCGGUAAUACGGAGGGGGCUAGCGUUGUUCGGAAUUACUGGGCGUAAAGCGCACGUAGGCGGACCGGAAAGUCAGAGGUGAAAUCCCAGGGCUCAACCUUGGAACUGCCUUUGAAACUAUCGGUCUGGAGUUCGAGAGAGGUGAGUGGAAUUCCGAGUGUAGAGGUGAAAUUCGUAGAUAUUCGGAGGAACACCAGUGGCGAAGGCGGCUCACUGGCUCGAUACUGACGCUGAGGUGCGAAAGCGUGGGGAGCAAACAGGAUUAGAUACCCGAGU
rnacentral:rRNA from 1 species